rnacentral:rRNA from 1 species
GACGAACGCUGGCGGCGUGCCUAAUACAUGCAAGUAGAACGCUGAAGAGAGGAGCUUGCUCUUCUUGGAUGAGUUGCGAACGGGUGAGUAACGCGUAGGUAACCUGCCUUGUAGCGGGGGAUAACUAUUGGAAACGAUAGCUAAUACCGCAUAACAAUGGAUGACACAUGUCAUUUAUUUGAAAGGGGCAAUUGCUCCACUACAAGAUGGACCUGCGUUGUAUUAGCUAGUAGGUGAGGUAAUGGCUCACCUAGGCGACGAUACAUAGCCGACCUGAGAGGGUGAUCGGCCACACUGGGACUGAGACACGGCCCAGACUCCUACGGGAGGCAGCAGUAGGGAAUCUUCGGCAAUGGGGGCAACCCUGACCGAGCAACGCCGCGUGAGUGAAGAAGGUUUUCGGACCGUAAAGCUCUGUUGUAAGUCAAGAACGGGUGUGAGAGUGGAAAGUUCGCACUGUGACGGUAGCUUACCAGAAAGGGACGGCUAACUACGUG